GAUGAAGAACGCAGCGAAAUGCGAUAAUUAAUGUGAAUUGCAGAAUUUAGUGAAUCAUCGAAUCUUUGAACGCACAUUGCGCCCCUUGGUAUUCCGGGGGGCAUGCCUGUUCGAGCGUCAUUUCAACCCUCAAGCACUGCUUGGUCUUGGGCCACGCCGGCGACGGCAGGCCUCAAACGUAGUGGCGGCACCAUCGGUUCCCUCAGUGUAGUAAUAUCUCUCGCUGCUGGGCCCUGGUGGUCGCUAGCCAGCAACCUCAAUUUUUUCUGGUUGACCUCGGAUCAGGUAGGGAUACCCGCUGAACUUAAGCAUAUCAAUAAGCGGAGGA
rnacentral:misc_RNA from 1 species